GAGGGUGCAGCUUCGUGGCAGAGCGCAUGCUUAGUGUGCACGAGGUCCUGGGUUCAAUCCCCAGUGCCUCCU
rnacentral:tRNA from 1 species